UACAGAGGUCUCGAGCGUUAGGCGGGAUCACUGGGCUUAAAGCGUGUGUAGGCGGAUCGGUAAGUACCUUGUGAAAUCCCACAGCUUAACUGUGGAACUGCUUGGUAUACUGCCAGUCUUGAGCCAGCUAGGGGCUACCGGAACAAAUGGUGGAGCGGUGAAAUGCGUAGAUAUCAUUUGGAACGCCAAUGGUGAAAACAGGUAGCUGGGGCUGUGCUGACGCUGAGACACGAAAGCCAGGGGAGCAAACGGG
rnacentral:rRNA from 1 species